rnacentral:lncRNA from 1 species
CUUGUUCGUAACUUCGAGAGAACCUCUCCAGAACGUUCAGAGAAAGUCACUGGCUCAUAUUGAACAGAACUAGCAGCACUCAGGCUAAUCUGAACAUGUUUUUGAGCAGAUGAGCUGUGGAUGUUGGUUGGUUGUAAUCUUGGCCCGUUUCGUUCUUACUCUUGUAUUUGUGUCUUCACGAUGGCUCCACAGCAGCAGUGUUGUGAUAAACAGGCCUCUCUUUCCCUGCGCUCGAGGCGUUUGAGUAAUGCCAUGCUCGCCAGCGGUGUUCCCUUUUUAAUUGCUCUGAUUCCUUCUCCCGGUCGGACCCGGCGCACACAAUAGAGUCUCAGACCGGCGUGAGUGCAUUAAUCAUGUCUGUCUGCGGACGCAUCUGGGGUCGCAUUGCAGGACUUCCAAAUGUUAUCUCACCAACACACGGACGAUCCCGUCUGCUGACACCCCCUCUCCAGCAGCUGCAGGUUCAGCAGAAGCCUUUCACAUGGUUUCACAGAGCUUCACGAACAGAGACGCUGCUGGAGCUGAUGGAAACACUGGAGCAGAGAUAUAUCAUCUGUAAAGAGUGCAGCAGGAGCAGGGAUCCACAGAUCUCAGUCCUGAAUGAAGCGGCUCAGAAAUCCCACAUAAGCGCUCGGGUCAGUGUGAAGAAGACAAACCCCCCCGAGGCCAGCAGCACGGUCAGAUGAAUGUGACUGACGCAGGUCAGCUGCACAGUUAAAUACGGCUGCAGGGGAGCAAUAAGCUCGGGGAAUAUUUCACGGGAUGAAUAACACAGGGAAAAGCCAUCUGGGGCUAGAUUGAAACAUUAUGAAGCACUAAAGCCAGGCUGAACAAGCUGCCCUCCCAGUUUGAGCAGGACACAAGCAGCGGCCUCCUCCCUCGAAGUCCUGCCGAUCAAUUCACAGAUAAAUGAGCCGUCUGGAGGCCAGCGUCUUCUCCAGAGCUGAUCGUACAUCAGAGCAGAAGGCGUGGGAUCUCAGGUUUGAGAUAAACCCAGCGCUGUACUGUUCUGCUUUCUACAGCGGCUCCAGUUCAAGACAAUACCUGCAUUAUCAUCCUGAUGCUGACCGAACAUCCUCACACGGGACUCACUGACACCCA